UCCCUAGAUAUUUCUCUGGCCUCUAAAAUAUUUAUGUCAAAGAACACAUCGUAAGAUCUGAGUUUCAUUUCCUAUUAAGCAAUAUAAAACCCUCUUUUCCUUUGAAAAAUAGUUGUGCAUAGUAGAACACCAUACAUGAAGGAAGAACAUGGUUAUUCACCAAAAUUAAUCACUAAGGUCAUCCAGGAUUUUUUUUUUUUUUUCCUG
rnacentral:misc_RNA from 1 species